GUGAGCACCAGGCGCACCCAGAACCCUUUGUGAACUUAUACCUUACUGUUGCCUCGGCGCAUGCCGGCCCCCCCGGGGGCCCCUCGGAGACGAGGAGCAGGCACGCCGGCGGCCAAGUUAACUCUUGUUUUUACACUGAAACUCUGAGAAAAAACACAAAUGAAUCAAAACUUUCAACAACGGAUCUCUUGGUUCUGGCAUCGAUGAAGAACGCAGCGAAAUGCGAUAAGUAAUGUGAAUUGCAGAAUUCAGUGAAUCAUCGAAUCUUUGAACGCACAUUGCGCCCUCUGGUAUUCCGGAGGGCAUGCCUGUUCGAGCGUCAUUUCAACCCUCAAGCAUUGCUUGGUGUUGGGGCACUGCUUUUUACCCAAAAAGCAGGCCCUGAAAUCUAGUGGCGAGCUCGCCAGGACCCCGAGCGCAGUAGUUAAACCCUCGCUUUGGAAGGCCCUGGCGGUGCCCUGCCGUUAAACCCCCAACUUUUGAAAAUUUGACCUCGGAUCAGGUAGGAAUACCCGCUGAACUUAAGCAUAUCAAUAAGCGGAGAAAAUCC
rnacentral:rRNA from 1 species